rnacentral:rRNA from 1 species
UACAGAGGCCUCGAGCGUUAGGCGGAAUCACUGGGCUUAAAGCGUGUGUAGGCGGACUUCUAAGUACCUUGUGAAAUCCCACGGCUCAACCGUGGAACUGCUUGGUAUACUGGUUGUCUUGGGCCAUCUAGGGGCUAGCGGAACAAACGGUGGAGCGGUGAAAUGCGUAGAUAUCGUUUGGAACGCCAAUGGUGAAAACAGCUAGCUGGGGAUGUGCCGACGCUGAGACACGAAAGCCAGGGGAGCGAACGGG